CGCCUGCCGCGCGUCGGCGUCCCGGGCCCGGCGGCCAGCGAGCAUGGAGGAGAAGUACCUGCCGGAGCUGAUGGCGGAGAAGGACUCCCUGGACCCCUCCUUCACGCACGCUCUGCGGCUGGUGAACCAAGAAAUAGAAAAGUUUCAAAAAGGAGAAGGCAAGGAUGAAGAAAAGUACAUCGAUGUGGUGAAUAAUAACAUGAAGCUGGGACAGAAAGUGUUAAUCCCUGUAAAGCAGUUCCCUAAGUUCAACUUUGUGGGGAAACUUCUGGGUCCCCGUGGCAAUUCUCUGAAGUGUUUACAAGAAGAAACGUUGACAAAAAUGUCCAUCCUUGGGAAAGGUUCCAUGCGAGACAAGGCAAAGGAAGAAGAGUUGAGGAAAAGUGGAGAGGCCAAGUACUUUCACCUCAAUGAUGACCUCCAUGUUCUCAUUGAAGUCUUCGCUCCACCAGUGGAAGCAUAUGCCCGGAUGGGACACGCACUGGAAGAAAUCAAAAAGUUGCUCAUUCCUGACUAUAAUGAUGAAAUCAGGCAAGCACAGCUCCAAGAAUUAACAUAUUUGAACGGUGGUUCAGAAAAUGUGGAUGUACCGGUUGUUCGAGGGAAACCCACCUUGCGUACAAGAGGUGUACCCACCCCAGCAAUAACCAGGGGAAGGGGAGGAGUCACAGCCCGGCCAGUUGGAGUUGGUGUACCACGAGGGACGCCAGCUUCCAGGGGAAUCCUUUCCACCCGAGGGCCAGUGAGUUGGGGAAGAGGACUUCUCACUCCCAGAGCAAGAGGAGUUCCCUCAACUGGGUACCGACCUCUGCCACCACCCCCAACACAAGAGACGUAUGGAGAUUAUGACUAUGAUGAUGGAUAUGGCACUGCUUAUGACGAACAGAGUUAUGAUUCCUAUGAUAACAGCUAUAGCACCCCUGUCCAAAGUGGUGCUGAUUACUAUGAUUACGGACAUGGACUCAGUGAAGAGACCUACGAUUCCUACGGGCAAGAGGACUGGACUAACUCGAGACACAAGGCACCUGCAGCGAGGACCGCAAAGGGCGUCUACAGAGACCAGCCCUACGGCAGAUACUGAUUGUACUGUCUGGUGUUGUGAAAUAGCCAGUCUCCACCAGUCCUGUGUACUGUUCAAAGUAAUGUUUUUCUAUGAACAAUCCCUUUUUAAAUAAAUCAAAAUGCUUAAAAUCUGAAUGGAUGGAAGUUUAAAACUACUUUGUGGAAACAUCAACCUGUGCAGAAAAAAAAAAAAAAAGACAUGUAAAAUUUUGUUAUUUCCAGUCUGUAUAUGAAAAAAAUAGGUCAUCAAAAGGAAAAAAAUAACUUUGAUUAACUAGUGUUAAACAAAAAACUAGGUUUACUAAAUAUGUUAAUCCAUCCUUUUAACAUAAGCCUCACCUUUCAUUUUAAAGGUUUCCAUAGCAAUUAGUUAUUUUAUCUUUCAGCCAUAUGCUAGUUUUUUUCUCUUGCCAACAUGCGUAAAAAGGGAAGCCAAUUACAAGUGCAAAUAAUGUGGUAUUCUUUUGUAACUCAAGUCUUGAAAUGUUCUGUAGUGUUGAGCAAAGUCUCCUCUUGCUUGAUACUAAAUAAACUUU